CCUACGGGAGGCAGCAGUGGGGAAUAUUGCGCAAUGGGCGAAAGCCUGACGCAGCGACGCCGCGUGAGGGAUGAAGGUCUUCGGAUCGUAAACCUCUGUCAGCAGGGAAGAACGGUCACUGUGCUAAUCAGCAGUGAAUUGACGGUACCUGCAAAGGAAGCACCGGCUACCUCCGUGCCAGCAGCCGCGGUAAUACGGAGGGUGCGAGCGUUAAUCGGAAUUACUGGGCGUAAAGCGCUCGUAGGCGGUAUGUCAAGUCAAGGGGGAAAUCCCCGCGCGCAACGUGGGAACUGCCUUUGAAACUGGCAAACUGGAGUGGGGGAGAGGAUAGGGGAAUUCCAGGUGGAGGAGUGAAAUCCGUAGAUAUCUGGAGGAACAUCAGUGGCGAAGGCGACUAUCUGGCACAUAACUGACGCUGAGGAGCGAAAGCGUGGGUAGCAAACAGGAUUAGAUACCCCUAGUAGUC
rnacentral:rRNA from 1 species